rnacentral:ncRNA from 1 species
AAAGGUAGAGGUUGCGUGAAUUAUCAGUAGUCUGUUGGAUGUGUCAGGCACAGAAGAAGACAGUCGAAAGGGAGGAACGCCGAAGAAGAAUAUUUCCUGAGAAUAUUUUUUCUGGGCGCAGAAUGAACAGUUCUGCGACUGUCAUCCAAAAGGAUGGGGAGCUACUUAA